GCCAGACUCCUACGGGAGGCAGCAGUGGGGGAUAUUGGACAAUGGGGGAAACCCUGAUCCAGCGAUGCCGCGUGAGGGAAGAAGGUUUUCGGAUUGUAAACCUCUGUGGACAGGGACGAUAAUGACGGUACCUGUCAAGAAAGCCACGGCUAACUACGUGCCAGCAGCCGCGGUAAUACGUAGGGGGCAAGCGUUAUCCGGAAUUACUGGGUGUAAAGGGAGCGUAGACGGUGAUGCAAGUCUGGAGUGAAAGGCGGGGGCCCAACCCCCGGACUGCUCUGGAAACUGUGUAACUUGAGUGCAGGAGAGGUAAGCGGAAUUCCUAGUGUAGCGGUGAAAUGCGUAGAUAUUAGGAGGAACACCAGUGGCGAAGGCGGCUUACUGGACUGUAACUGACGUUGAGGCUCGAAAGCGUGGGGAGCAAACAGGAUUAGAUACCCCCGUA
rnacentral:rRNA from 1 species